AACGUAGGUGGCGAGCGUUAUCCGGAUUUACUGGGCGUAAAGGGUGUGCAGGCGGGCUGUUAAGUGGGGUAUGAAAUAUCCCGGCUCAACCGGGAGAGGUUAUGCCAGACUGGCAGUCUAGAGAGCGAGAGAGGGACGUGGAAUUCCGGGUGUAGUGGUGAAAUGCGCAGAUAUCAGGAGGAACACCGAUGGCGAAGGCAGGUCUCUGGGCAUUAACUGACGCUGAGGAGCGAAAGCAUGGGGAGCAAACAGG
rnacentral:rRNA from 1 species